CAAAUGGUUGAGAGUUCAUUUAGAGUUCAUUUUUGCCAGUCUUGGUGGGGCUAUGUGCCAUCUAUAAAAUAAUUUAUACAAAUUUUCUUUGAAAGAUAUUGCUAGAGUCAUUUUUUAUUUCUAUUCCAAAGUUUUUGCCAAUCAUCUAAAAUAAUGCUAUAACCAAAAUUUUUCAUCCAUACCACCAUCGUUUCCUUUACUUUUUCUUCUUCCAAUUUAAAUUCCAAUAAAACUUGAUAUAUUUUUUUUAUCAUCUUCUC